rnacentral:lncRNA from 1 species
AAGUGCUCCUCAACAGUGGCUGUCAAGAGAUGAGAUCUGGAUGGUAAGCUGAUGGAACGAGAAUGAGCACUAACUUUUGUGGUUGCAAUUGAGGCUGCCAUUUUUAUUUGCAGGAGGAAUUAGAUGCCAAUGAAAAUCCUGAACUCAAGGUUUGUUUGAUUGAACUCUCACCUUGGCACCUUUUUAUAAACUAUGAGGAGACAAAAGGAAUCAACUUAAUUUCCUUCAUGUGCCGAACAGAGAAACAGGCCAAGGUAACUAGGGGCUGAGGGCAAAACAGGCUAGAAUAGGGAUUAGUGACUCGGGUUGACCUAGCAAUGCAGUUUGUAAAAUUUUGUGUGUGAUUACUAUAUUAUAGUUUGAUUAUAUAUCUGGAUGAUCUGAAUUUUAAAGCUAUUUGCACUCAAAUCGCAAUUAAUCUUCUGUGUAUGUUUAUAUUAAUAUGAAUUGCCACCCGGAUCCGGUCUACUUCUAGUUUACAUUAGAUAGAUAAUUACAGUAUUGAUUGCGAGAAAAGAAUUGGGGACGGGUAUAACUCCUUUUUUUGACCCUGCACUGCGUUCUUAUUUGCGGUUUUGGGAUAUGUGAUGGGUAUGAGAAGGAUCCUGUUGCAGAAAUAUAUAUAUUUUGCAAAUUGUGUUGUUGAUGAAAUAUACGCGAAACCGAAUAUUGACUUUAAACAGUUGUUUUCGCAAUCUUUCUCGUUGAUAAUAUACUAGCUUCACAUACAGUCUGUACUCAUGUAUGUACAAAAACUGAUCCCUCACAAAAAUUCGGGGAUGCAGUAAUAGUCUAUCUAAUAGACAAUUCUGUUGGAAAAGAACUAGUGGUUGAGCACAUUGAGAAUUAAUACUCGUGUCUUGAUCAAUGAUCGGACUAGACAGUCUAAUUGUUCUUCACAUUCUUGCAUAUUCAUGUCCAAUGCCGUCAGACAUUUCUGAACGUCUUCUGUUUCUGUGAUAUCACUUUUUUUGCUUGAUUUCUUGCUGAUAGCUUCUAAAGCCAUAUCCAUGUUGUGAACUUGGUUGAUAAUUUCUUCUGUGUCCUCUUCACAAUGUACACGCUUGGACUGUGUUGACUUGAAAACCUUUGACCAUGUGCUUUUUGUCGAUGCUUCCUUUGCAGGACAGAUGGAUGAGAAGAUAGACUCGAAAACUGAGAUGCUGACUUCUUCGACUUCCCUUAGAAGGCUCACGAUAGCAGGAGUCUCGAUGCUUUUGUUAAUUUUGGACUUCUUAGAACCAGCAAAGCACUUGGAGAGCAUUCUGUUUGCCUUUUUCUUACAUACCAGGUAGCUUGCGAUUCUGCUUGAUACAUCAGUUUGUCUUCUACGUAGAGAGGAUUCUAGAUCUUGAACUGAAUCUCUCAUAUGCGAGAGAGCAUCUUUUGAGGUGCUGCACAGAUCCAAUAACCUAAUGGACCCGCAAAGAAUAUCUUCUCCGCAGCUCAAACGAUCUUGCUGUGCGGCUUGCGAUUGGAUCAAAUCUUCUACACACUCAUAUAAGUCUUGAAGAGCGGAUAAUUUGUCGCAUUUGGAUACUGUCGAUGAGGAUGCCCCUUCCGGGGUCCUUAAUCUGCACAAGUGCUCCUCAACAGUGGCUGUCAAGGGAUGAGAUCUGGAUGGUAAGCUGAUGGAACGAGAAUGAGCACUAACUUUUGUGGUUGCAAUUGAGGCUGCCAUUUUUAUUUGCAGGAGGAAUUAGAUGCCAAUGAAAAUCCUGAACUCAAGGUUUGUUUGAUUGAACUCUCACCUUGGCACCUUUUUAUAAACUAUGAGGAGACAAAAGGAAUCAACCUAAUUUCCUUCAUGUGCUGAACAGAGAAACAGGCCAAGUAUCAGAAAAUGCAGAUCUCAAUUGUAGCAGUGUCUGUGGGAGGAGGAACAUUUGCUUGGCACAAAAUAAUAUAAUAUGCAAGAAACCAGGCUGGCGUUCAUCUGCAAAUUUUGG